rnacentral:rRNA from 1 species
GAUGAACGCUGGCGGCGUGCUUAACACAUGCAAGUCGAACGGAAAGGCCUCUGCUUGCAGGGGUACUCGAGUGGCGAACGGGUGAGUAACACGUGGGUGAUCUGCCCUGCACUUCGGGAUAAGCCUGGGAAACUGGGUCUAAUACCGGAUAGGACAAUGGUUUGGAUGCUGUUGUGGAAAGUUUUUCGGUGUGGGAUGAGCUCGCGGCCUAUCAGCUUGUUGGUGGGGUAAUGGCCUACCAAGGCGUCGACGGGUAGCCGGCCUGAGAGGGUGUACGGCCACAUUGGGACUGAGAUACGGCCCAGACUCCUACGGGAGGCAGCAGGGGGGAAUAUUGCACAAUGGGCGCAAGCCUGAUGCAGCGACGCCGCGUGGGGGAUGACGGCCUUCGGGUUGUAAACUCCUUUCGCUAGGGACGAAGCGUUUUUGUGACGGUACCUGGAGAAGAAGCACCGGCUAACUACGU